GAUGAACGCUGGCGGCGUGCCUAAUACAUGCAAGUCGAGCGAAUGGAUUAAGAGCUUGCUCUUAUGAAGUUAGCGGCGGACGGGUGAGUAACACGUGGGUAACCUGCCCAUAAGACUGGGAUAACUCCGGGAAACCGGGGCUAAUACCGGAUAACAUUUUUAACCGCAUGGUUCGAAAUUGAAAGGCGGCUUCGGCUGUCACUCAUGGAUGGACCCGCGUCGCAUUAGCUAGUUGGGGAGGUAACGGCUCACCAAGGCAACGAUGCUUAGCCGACAUGGGAGGGUGAUCGGGCACACGGGGACUGAGACACGGCCCAGAGUCCUACGGGAGGCAGCAGUAGGGAAUCUUCCGCAAUGGACGAAAGUCUGACGGAGCAACGCCGCGUGAGUGAUGAAGGCUUUCGGGUCGUAAAACUCUGUUGUUAGUGAAGAGCAAGUGCUAGUUGAAUAAGCUGGCACCUUGACGGUACCUAACCAGAAAGCCACGGCUAACUACGUGCCAGCAGCCGCGGUAA
rnacentral:rRNA from 1 species